rnacentral:rRNA from 1 species
CCUACGGGAGGCAGCAGUGGGGGAUAUUGCACAAUGGGGGGAACCCUGAUGCAGCGACGCCGCGUGGGGGAAGGUGUAUUUCGGUAUGUAAAGCCCUAUCGGCAGGGAAGAAGCAAGACGGUACCUGACUAAGAAGCCCCGGCUAACUACGUGCCAGCAGCCGCGGUAAUACGUAGGGGGCGAGCGUUAUCCGGAUUCACUGGGUGUAAAGGGAGCGUAGACGGCCAUGCAAGCCAGGGGUGAAAGCCCGGGGCCCAACCCCGGGACUGCCCUUGGAACUGCAUGGCUGGAGUGCGGGUGGGGCAGGCGGAAUUCCUGGUGUAGCGGUGAAAUGCGUAGAUAUCAGGAGGAACACCGGCGGCGAAGGCGGCCUGCUGGACCGCGACUGACGUUGAGGCUCGAAAGCGUGGGGAGCGAACAGGAUUAGAUACCCGGGUAGUC